rnacentral:ncRNA from 2 species
UAUAUUGGUUAUAGAAGUUGUGUUUAAGGAACCUUGUGUAAAUCAAGGGCUGUGCCGCAACCGUGGUUCGACGAUGCUCACCAUCUUCGAUAAGUCGGAAAACUAGCAGCUUCUCCGCCAGCCGG